rnacentral:tRNA from 1 species
GUGGUGGUGGUUAGUGGCUAAAACGCUUGGUUGCUAACCAAAAGGUCAGUGGUUCGAACCCACCAGCCGCU